CCGUUGCCUCGUGCUACAGCAUGAAAACCUGCCGAUCAACGAUCCGCAGCUUCUGGCCAGCUUGGGCCACAUGACAAGCCUGCAGCACCUGUCCCUUCUGACGUCGAUGCAGGUCUCGGACGCCGAUGCAUCUAAAUGUGUCUAUGGCUGCGUCGCCCGCUAAGCUCAGCUGAAGUGCCUGCACAUGCACUACAGACGCGACACCGGCGGCUUGGAGCAACGAGUCACAUGGUUGAAACGAUGCCAAGACGAAGUCCUCUUACGAGGCAGACCCUGCUUCGCGUGUUGCUCGACAGCGACGUUCAUCGGAGUCGUCAAGCCGUUCAAUCGCGACUGUGAGGCGUACCUGUAAGCCUAACUAAGGGAUACACCUGCUAUGAAAGUUUCCCUUAAUCCGAUUUUAAAGUAAUAAGUGUUGGAGCAUGAAAGGUCGGAGCAUUAUAGUUUAGAGUUUGAUGCUUCCGGAUGUAAACAUUAAUUGGACGCGUUUCAAUAAAGGGUUCGACAAGUU
rnacentral:lncRNA from 1 species